UACGGAGGAUGCAAGCGUUAUCCGGAAUUAUUGGGCGUAAAGCGUCCGUAGGUGGCAUUGCAAGUCUGCCGUCAAAGCAUGGAGCUUAACUCCGGAGAGGCAGUGGAAACUGAAAAGCUAGAGUGCGGUAGGGGUAGCGGGAAUUCCCAGUGUAGCGGUGAAAUGCGUAGAGAUUGGGAAGAACACCGGUGGCGAAAGCGCGCUACUGGGCCGAAACUGACACUGAGGGACGAAAGCUAGGGGAGCGAAAGGG
rnacentral:rRNA from 1 species